rnacentral:tRNA from 1 species
CAUUUGGUAGCUUAAGUUGUUAAAGCGUAAGUCUUUUAAACUUAUGAUGCUCUUGCCCUGAUGG